rnacentral:rRNA from 1 species
CCCUUAGAUGUUCUGGGCUGCACGCGCGCUACACUGAAGCGUUCAACGAGUAUUCACCUUGCCCGGGAGGGUUGGGUAAUCUUUUGAAAACGCUUCGUGAUGGGGAUAGAUUAUUGCAAUUAUUAAUCUUCAACGAGGAAUUCCUAGUAAACGCAAGUCAUCAGCUUGCAUUGAUUACGUCCCUGCCCUUUGUACACACCGCCCGUCGCACCUACCGAUUGAAUGGUCCGGUGAAGCCUCCGGAUUGGCGCGCACCUCGGUGCCGCCGAGAAGUUGGCUAAACCUUACCAUUUAGAGGAAGGUGAAGUCGUANCA